CAAUUUUGUUAUUUAGGAUACAUUUCCCUUCAGAAGCUGUUUUCUAAUUGAACAAUGGGUCUGAGGCAUUAAUAAGUUAAAUGAAUUUGACAUAUAUUUUUAUGUCUUGGCUGCUAAUGGUUGAAAUGAAACUUUGUAAAAUAUAGCUAUUCAUAUAAUUGUGGCAAAGCUUUCUAAAGUAGGCAUUUAGAUGCAUGCAUGUCCAGAAAAUACACACAGGCAUACACUACUGCAAUAAUAUGAGAAGUGUCUGGUACAAUGACCGACUAGGACAGGUAUGGGAGGAUGAGGAAAGGGAAGAGAUUGUAAAUUUGAAAUGUUAAACAGAUUAGUAUAAGAAGUGCCACUCAAAUACUGAGUAGGAGGUAGGGAGGAAAUUUCUAAAUUAUGUUUCAAAAGAGUGUUUUACUAUGGUGGAUGGGUGAGAGAGAACAAUUUUAUGUGGCUAACUCCAAAUAUUUGGAAUGGAACUUCAUUGUGGUACAGCCUGUCCUUAAGCAUGCAUGUUUUGUAUUGUAAUAAUGCGCUUUUCCAACAAAUCAAGAAGAUAUUCUCACAGAUUAGGAAAUUUAUUGAGCAGUUCUGCUCAGAGCAAUGCUACAAACGCUUAUUGAGCAAUUCCGGCCUGGAUUUUCAGAAGCUUGACUAGAGCAGUGACCAGUAUGACAUUUUCUGCCAAAGCAGUAAAGCUGGAAGGGGUUUCUUUUCUACCUCCUUGGAAUACUAUAAUGUAUUAGUAGGAAGGGUGUCUUUUCUACCUCCUUGAAGAAACAUAAUCGUAAACCAAAUAGAAGAAUUGGUAGAAAGAAUGAAUGCAGAUGCACAAAUAUGUUGACAUGUAGACCUAAAUCCUGAUGGGUGGGGUUGAUUUUGUCUUUUCUGAUCUUGAAAAGGCCAAUUGUUAAUUGUCAGGAGAGUGGAUUCAAAUUAUAGGUUAUAUAGGAAAGGUGGCUGGAUGAAAUCAAUCAAAUAGUUUUAAGUAUUAUGGUGAAAUGACAAUCCAAUAAUAUUUUAUGGUUGCUAAAAUGCUGGGAAUAGCUCAGUUGGUUAAGGGAGUUGAGCCUUAGCUCACGCUUGUGCUAAAAAAAAAAGUAAAAAAGAUUUGGGACUGGAAAUUGUCAACAAGAUGUCUGGACUUUACGGUAAAACUUAUAUUUAAUCACCAUCUCAUUAUUCUUGCUUGUGCAUCCACCAAUGCAUGGAUGUUCCUGAAAUUGCAUCUUCAUUCAAAUCUGCUUUGUUGUUGAGGCUUUCAGUUUUGGUUAAGCUUUAACCUUAUUUUAAGGCCUUCUGCCUGUAUAAUCUUUGAAUGAAAUGAAAUGAAAAUAAGACCAGAAUAUACUGUGAAUUUUCACCUUCCAUAUCCUAAUUAAGCUUUUGAAUCCUAAAUAUUCUUCUGAUGCCUCACAUUUUCCCCCUUGCCAUUUGGAAACUGCAGACACGCCCUCAUGCAACUGUU
rnacentral:misc_RNA from 1 species